rnacentral:rRNA from 1 species
UACGUAGGGGGCAAGCGUUAUCCGGAUUUACUGGGUGUAAAGGGAGCGUAGACGGCCAGACAAGUCUGAAGUGAAAAUCCAGCGCUUAACGUUGGAAGUGCUUUGGAAACUGCCGGGCUAGAGUGCAGGAGGGGCAGGCGGAAUUCCUAGUGUAGCGGUGAAAUGCGUAGAUAUUAGGAGGAACACCAGUGGCGAAGGCGGCCUGCUGGACUGCAACUGACGUUGAGGCUCGAAAGCGUGGGGAACAAACAGG